rnacentral:rRNA from 1 species
UACGGGGGGGGCAAGCGUUGUUCGGAAUUACUGGGCGUAAAGGGCUCGUAGGCGGCCAACUAAGUCAGACGUGAAAUCCCUCGGCUUAACCGGGGAACUGCGUCUGGGACUGGAUGGCUUGAGUGCAGGAGAGGAACGCGGAAUUCCAGGUGUAGCGGUGAAAUGCGUAGAUAUCUGGAGGAACACCGGUGGCGAAGGCGGCGUUCUGGACUGCAACUGACACUGAGGAACGAAAGCCAGGGGAGCAAACGGG